GGCAUCAUAGCUCAGUUUAGGAUAGAGUUUUCUACUCUUCCUCUGAACAGGUAGAGCGUCCGGCUGUUAACCGGGUGGUCGCAGGUUCAAAUCCUGCUGGUGCCG
rnacentral:tRNA from 1 species